UAACAUUAUAAAUAAGAACUUCCCAUCACAUAAUUUAUAGCAAACCAAAUAAGUCAUCCAAAAAAGAACUAAAAGAGAGAUGGAAUGGGAAUGGAGUUAUCUGUUUUUUUCUUCAAUCAUUUUGUUACCAGCUUUCAUCCUAUUUUUUUCCAGGAAAAAGAGUACUAAAUGUUCCUACAAAUUACCUCCAGGACCACCUGGAUUGCCAAUUUUUGGUAACAUGUUUGAACUAGGAACAGAGCCAUACAAAAGAAUGUCAGUUCUAAAACAGAAAUAUGGUCCUGUUUUGUGGUUAAAACUUGGCACCUCAACAAAAAUUAUGGUUGUUCAAACAGCUCAGGCUGCUGAAGAGCUAUUCAAAAACCAUGAUAUUUCCUUUGCGGAUCGAUUCAUACCUGAUGCAAAUCAGGCACAUAGUUACUAUCAAGGGUCCUUGGCCUUAGCCCCAUAUGGCUCAUUUUGGCGCUUUAAGAGACGGAUAUGUACUGUGGAAAUGUUUGUACACAAAAGAAUCAGUGAAACAGUGCCAGUAAGGCGAAGAUGUGUGGAUAAUAUGUUAAAAUGGAUAGAGAAAGAAGCGAAUUCAGCUGAAAAAGGAAGUGGGAUUGAAGUAACGCGUUUAGUAUUCCUUGCAUCGUUUAAUAUGGUAGGGAAUUUGGUUCUGUCGAAAGACUUGGCUGAUCCAGAAUCUGAGGAGGCCUCGGAGUUCUUCAAUGCCAUGAAGGGAAUCAUGGAUUGGUCAGGUAUUGCUAAUGUUUCUGACAUAUUUCGAUUUCUUAGAAAGUUUGAUUUACAAAAUUUGAGGAAGAAGAUGGAGCGAGACAUGGGGAAGGCCUUGGAGAUCAUGUCUAUGUUUCUCAAGGAACGCGAGGAAGAACGAAAGAAGGGUGUGGAGAAGGGGAAUGAUUUCUUGGAUGUGUUACUUGAAUUUGAGGGUACUGGAAAAGAUGAACCAACUAAAUUAUCAGAACAGGAGAUCAAAAUAUUCGUGUUGGUAAGUUUUUAAAAAAUAAUCUCUAGACUUGUCUUUUCAAACAUAAAUCAUUUUCAUUUCAGUUAGAUGUGUAUUUGGAGCAGAAAACUCUGUUCUGCUUAGGCAAUAAUAUAUGCUAGCUCCUCACUCCUCACUCCUCAAUAAUGUUUUCCCACUUAAAUAACGAGGAGUAAUUUGAUUGAAAAAUUAGUGUGUAUGUUUUUUGGGAUUUACACAAAUAGCCAACUAGAUUCACUGUCUACUUGUCCUAGUCGGUAAACACCUAAUUAAGAAAAUCCCCGUGAAAUUUACCCUCAACUCCAAUAUUGAAUUACCAUGAAAUUAAAUUUGUUGUAUAUGUAUGAAACAACAGGAAAUGUUUUUAGCUGGUUCAGAGACGACGAACAGCAGCGUAGAAUGGGCACUAACAGAGCUUUUGCGCCAUCCACAAGCAAUGGCAGAAGUGAAAACAGAGAUAUCAAAAGUAGUAGGACCAAACAACACGUUUGAAGAAAGUGACAUCGAAAAUCUUCCUUAUAUGCAAGCUGUAAUCAAAGAAUCACUUCGUUUACACCCUCCUCUCCCUUUCUUGAUCCCAAGAGAGACAAUUCAAGAUACCAAGUUCAUGGGGUAUGACGUUCCAAAAGGCACUCAAGUCUUGGUUAACGCCUGGGCGCUUGGAAGAGAUCCUCAAUGUUGGGACGACCCUAUGAGUUUCAAGCCCGAGAGGUUUGUUGGCUCAAAAAUAGACGUGAAGGGUCAGCAUUAUGGGCUAAUUCCAUUUGGUGCUGGACGAAGAAUGUGUGUUGGUUUGCCUUUAGGCCAUCGAAUGAUGCAAUUUGCUCUGGGAUCAUUGCUUCACCAAUUCGAUUGGGAGCUUCCCGAUGGUGUCACUCCUAAAUCUAUCAAUAUGGAUGAAAGCAUGGGAGUAACAGCCAGAAAACGCGACUCUUUGAAAGUGAUACCAAUAAAGGCUUGACAACUCAUUAAUCUAAUCGAGCCAACAAGUAUUCGUCUUUAUAGUUAUAUAUUUUUGCAUAUUUUCCUUAUAAUAAGUAUUUGUAGUGCCAACUGGAGUUUCUGUUAGUACUAAAAUUAUAGUAUGUACAUCUUUGUCAAACAAGAUUGUAAGUUGGUAAAAACUAAGAUAAGUGAUUUCAUUUCAAAUGUACUGCACUACGAAACAACGCCAGAUAGGACUAACAAUCUAAUAUAGCCACAUGUCAAAGAAGGUGAGAUAAUGAGUCUUAGUUGCAAAGAGCAAAUACAAACCAGCCUCACUAUUACAUUGGGGGCUUCUUGGUUAUUUAUUCUCAAGAACAACAAUGUUCCUUUAGCAGAUAUGGUUAUGUCUGCAGUUUAUAUCGAUGUUUACUUGGAGCAUUUGGAUAUGUAUGUUUGCGUAAACUAUGAUAACGUGCAAUGAGGGUCAUUUGUGAUAUUUUGAGGCACAUGGAUAUGUUUAUUUCAACUGUUCUUCAAAUAGCUGCAGUUUUUUUAAAUUGAUUUUGAUGCUUCUUGUAUAUGAUUCCUUAAUGGAUUCUGAAUAUGAACUUGUGUUAUACAGUUUUUGAAGUCGUUAUACCAUCUUGUUUUGGUCUCGAUAACAACUCAUGUCUAUGAUUUCGUAUGCUUCCAUCCUUAUAUAUUGAGAAAGAAGAGCAAGACACUUAUUUUCCUGGUACAACUAAGAUGAAAAUUUCUCUUCCUUUCAACAUUCAAUGGCUUACUCUACAGCUUUUAUGUAUAUAUGUUCAUCGUUUAUACAUCCUCUGGCCAUGUUAUUGUGCACAUUAGAAUGAGGAAUUCAUUAGAUAUAAUAUUUGUAUCAUGUGGUUCAUUGUUAUCAUCAAAAGGUGCCAUUUUGUUGCUGCUUAUUUUCCAACAACAUAUCCAAUGUAAUCCCAUAAGUAGAGUCUGGAGAGGGUCGUGUAUACAAAACCUUAUCCCUACAUUGUGAAGAUAGAGAGACGGUUUCAAAUAGACCCUCAGGUCAAGUAAUUGUUCUUAUUAUGCAACACUAUUGCUGACUUCAUAGUUAAUCUUGUAUUAAAAAAAGAGAAUCAAAUAUACUCUCCAUUGAUUUUUCUUGUUUUCUAUUUCCAAACAGAGUGAUAAAGAGGGCUAAUGUCAUGCUGAGUGAUUUUCCCCACAUGGCCAACUGAGGCGAAGCUAGCAAAAGCUGUAGUAUAAGUAAUGGACUGGGCUAUCAAAGAAACAUACUUAUCUGGACGGGGUGAUCAAUAAGACCUAUGGCCUAGGCUGGUGACUUCCAUUGCACUUUGGAAGGGUGGAAGCCUAAGGUCGGCCCAAGUGGGCGUUGGUCCCAUUCAGGUGUUUGUUUGGAAUGAAUUUUCUUUGCAAAUAGAAGUUUGAAUAGACUAUUGAGUCUAGGGAUGUUAAAUGAGUUUGGUUGAAUUUCGAAUCUUACCAAUAUUAAUCUUAAAGAUUUUGGUCACAUCCAAGAGUUUUUGUUAGGUAUGAAUUUUUGUGCAAAUAGAAUUCUGAACAGACUAUUGAGUCGACAGUUGUUAAAAGGGUUGGGUUGAAUUUGAGUAGGAUUGUUAAAUGAAAUGGGUUGAAUUUCGAACCCAAGUUCAACCCCUACCAAUAUUAACCUUAAAGAUUUUGGUCCCAUAUGGUUGUUAGGUAUGAAUUUCUAUGCAAAUAGAAUUCUGAAUAGACUAGUGAGUCUUAGGGACGUUAAAUGGGUUGGGUUGAAUUUGAGUAUGAUUAGAAGUGUCAAAUGAACGUGAAUAUCAACUAGAGGUGUUAACAGGUGGGUCGGAUUGAAUUAGAGCAUAGUUGAGAAUUGAGAUAAUAAAUGGGCCAUAAGGUCCCAUAAUAAAUUUCAAGAGUUUGUUGGUAUGAAUUUCACCUAUAAAAUAGAAUAUGAUUAGGAGUGUUACAUGGGUGAAUUGGUUUGAAUUUGAGUAUGUCAAAACAAGUUGAGUUAAUAAUUGAUUCACCCAAGUAAUUGAUCUCUCCAAUCAUUAUCAUGGCUAAAAAUUGGGUCAUAACAUAACUCGUUUAAUUCUUACUAUAUUUUAAUUUCUUAAUUUGUUUUCUUAUACUUUGUUCGAGUACCUACUAGAAAAAUCUUCCUUAUAUUAUGACUUAUAACAUAUUAAAUAAAAAAUAUUUUUUUAAAAAAUAUUUAGAUAGUUUCUCGAGUCUAUCUGGGCUGAAUAUUAGCGCAAUUUUAAAAUGAACUAAAUUAAGCUGGGUCAAAAUGGACCGAGUUAAUUAAAUGAAUAGAUCGUAAAUUCACUCAAAUCUAAACAAACUGAAUAUAUCAUGAUUUUAUGGGUUGAUUUUGUCAUGCUCUAUUUUACUUUUGUCAAAUUUUGUUCGCCUGUAAGAUUGUGUUAAGGCUUAAGUUCUCUAUGGCACCUUGAAGUUGUCCGCUUAAUUUACUUAGACACCUCAACUAGAACGUAUACCUAUUGAACACCUCUACCCUCUCGAAUUUGAACCACUUAAACACUUUAUGCAGACGUGACACAAAAAGUGUAAUUCAUACCUUGGUGUGCACGUGAAACCAAUAUUUUUACAUUCUCUCUUUUCCUUUUCAAUUUUUUCUCAUUAUUUGUUUUUUAAAAAUAACAAUCGUUGUCUCUUUGCAGAUGCAGAGCUGCUCCUGUCAUUUUUUUUCACACGACUUGUUGUAACCACUUCUUCACCACAAUCCAAUUUGUUUUUUUACAAAUUUUUUUCUUUUUUAAAAAUAAAAAUAAAAAUUCUUAUCAUUGUACUAUUAAUUUUGCAGAUGUAGAACUACUCCCGUUAUUUUUUUCUGAAAAAAAAAUGGAGAUUACCAUCCACAGUUUUUUGUCAAAAAAAAUGGAGAUUAUUAUCUACGUCUUCUUUGUCGAAAAAAUAGAGACCACCAUCCACAUCUACUUUGCCUGAAAAAAUAGAGAUCAUUAUUCAAAUAUUUUCUCUCUCUUCACCUCUCCCCCACGUCCCUUCUUCCCCAUAAAUCGAAGCACAAAUAGAAAAAAAAAAUCAUAAUCAAAAUAAAUAAAGAAAGAAUAUAUCUUUUAAGAAAACACUAUUAAUUUAAAUGUGAAUAAGAAAGAAGGCAUAUAGAGAAAUAAAAAUGAUAAAAUCCAUACAUAAUAUGGAGAAUUAACAAUGGUGAACAAGAGUGAGCGUGUAUAAUUUCUAUUUAUUUAGUUGAAAGUCUUUUUUUUUUUUAGAUUUGAACUUGUUUAUAUGCAAAAUUCAUUUUUAUAAUGAUUUUAAAUUAAAAUGGCACAUGUCUUCUUUGCCACAUCAUAUACAUGUGUAUUACACACUUCCUCUUUUAACUAAGGGUCAUGAAAAUGUUCAAUACGUAUUUAUUUUUCACCAUUAAAGUGACUAAUAUGCGGAUAACUUUAAGAGGUCAGACUUAAGCCUUUUGUUAAUUUGAGAUUUACUCUUAUUUACUAAUUGAGCAAUUAGUAUAGUAACGACUUAAUGGUUAUCUUAUCUAUCAUUUUGGAUGAUUUGCAUAGAAAAUAUAGACUAUGAAACAUUGUACGUGAUUUGCCAAGAAUACACGAAUAUAAUUUAUUUAAAAGAGUUCUCAUAUUUAACGUAAUUAUCUUGAAUAUAUUUAUAUUCACAUUAUUAACAUGAAAGAGAUAUUGAUUGACCUAGCUAACCAACUUAUUUUCCUCUUGAAAGUCAUCACUGUGUUUUAUUUGCUUUUUUUAUUUUAUUUCACGUGAUAUUAUUUCUUUAUGGGAAAAUUAUGAAUCCAUCCAAAAAGAUUAACGUAUUUCAAUGCAUUUUAUUCUAUCCUUAAUGAGAAGCUUUGAUAGAUAUACAAAUUUUAUUUCUUCUUCUUUUUAAACUUCAUGACAAAUCAAUUCCGUAACUGAAACAAAAGGAGUAUGAUAACUUAAAAAUGGAUUUAAACGUUAGAAAUUUUAGUGUUUAUCUAAUUGUAUCAUAUAAUCAGAGGCGGAGCCAGGAUUUCAGACUUGUGGGUUCUAAAUUUAAAAAAAAAUAACGAUCUUAAAAAUCACAAAACACAAAUUAUGUUAAUGAGAUGUUUGUCAUGUUUGAAAACAUUACCUUAGAUAUUGUUAUUCUAAAAACUUAUUUUAAUAAUAUGAAGAUUUGAGUAAUUUAAUUUAAAGUUCUAAAAUAUUGUUAAUGAAAGAUGAAUAAUUUUUUAAAUAUAAUUCUUGAAUAUUUUCCCCCAAACACCUCCACCCCCAGGGGCAGACCCACAAGAAGUUACAAGCAGAGGCGGAGCCAGGAUUUCAGACUUGUGGGUUCUAAAUUUAAAAAAAAAUAACGAUCUUAAAAAUCACAAAACACAAAUUAUGUUAAUGAGAUGUUUGUCAUGUUUGAAAUCAUUACCUUUUAAUAAUAUGAAGAUUUGAGUAAUUUAAUUUAAAGUUCUAAAAUAUUGUUAAUGAAAGAUGAAUAAUUUUUUAAAUAUAAUUCUUGAAUAUUUUUAUUAUAAUAUAAAAUACUAUUUUAAGUGAGAAAAAAAUAUUUAAUUCACCAUUAAUAUUUUCGCACCUAAAAUAUAUAUUUUACUAGUUUCAUUGUGACCUUGAACUAUUACUACCUUCAAAAGUUAUAAUGUUGAAAAGCAAAUAACAAUUAUUCACUAUAAUCAAUUAUCAAUAUGUGGGAUAACCUUAGAAAAUAUUAAAAAUUGAUUUUUGAAUAGAUAAUUCUACGGUGUAAAAGCAAACAAAUAAAAAAAAUGAAAAAGGAGAAGUGAGAGUACAUAGUACAUAUCGAAGGCAGAGGUCGGAUGAUAGCAAUCAGAUCAACAAUAAAAGUUAGAAUCCUAACUUUUGAAAAUAAAUUUGGGCUAAAAUUUUUGAAUAGAAAUCAAUGAAAUUAUAUUUGGGUUAAAUUUUUUGAAUAUCUGAGUAGAAAUCAAUAGUUAGCUAUUGUUUUAAAGUAUGAUCCAAACACUUUUUUUUAUUAUCAUUAACCGUUUUUCUGUUUUUUUUUUUAUAUAUAUAAAUUAUCAUUUGCCAAUUUUCUACUUUUUAUAAAAACAAAAAUCCAAUGUUUUUAUCUGAAAUUAAUUCCAAAAACUUAGUGCCGUGAGCAGGUUUCGAACCCAUGAUCAUUAACCGUUUUUCUGUUUUUUUUUUUUUAUAUAUGUAUAAAUUAUCAUUUGCCAAUUUUCUAUACCGGUUUUCUAUUGUUUUUAAAAAAAUAUAUAAAUUAUCAUUUGCCAAUUUUCUAUUUUUUAUAAAAACAAAAAUCCAAUGCUUUUAUCUGAAAUUAAUUCCAAAAACUUGGUGCCGUGAGCAGGUUUCAAACCCAUGGCGCGUGUAUUGAAUGAUUUCACUGGGUGCGGGGAGACCACUGGGCCACCCGACUCAUUGUGUUAGAGGAUUCACAGGAAAUUUAUAUGUACGUUUUAUUUGAUAAAAUCUACGGAAAAGUCAGUGGGUUCUCCCGAAACCCCUUCCGCUACAGUAGCUUCACCCCUGCAUAUAAUCGACAAGUGCCAAUUAUUGGGUACCAAUUUACAACAUUUUCUUAUCAUUUUACUUUAUGAAUAGUGAUCGCAAUUAUUCUAAGUACGUCUACUAUCUUGUCAGAUAAAUAGUAUGGUAAAGCAAAGAAACUUGUUUUGUGGACGUAAUUUAUCAUUAACGCCGACAAUAUUAAUAAGCAUUGAAAAUGUUGAGCUAACCUAAGUAUAUUAACUAUACAAGCAAACGAGGGUUGAAGUUUCAAAAAGAAAAAUCAAAGCUCAUACCUAAUUGACACACACAUAACAUGUAGCUGGAGGCCAUAGCUGCCGCGUGGAACCAAAAUUUGAACUUUAUAGGUUCUAAAUUUUAGGAUAACAACCCUCGGGUAUUGGUAAUUGAUUUUUGAAGGGUAAUUAGGACAAAAAUAAUUUAGUUGCGCACUGAAUAAACAGUACCAAGUUAAAUGGUUAUGAGGUAAUGAGAAGCAAUAUAACAUUAUAAAUAAGAGCUUCCGUCACAUAAUUUAUAGCAAACUCACUAAAAAAAGUAUAGGAGAGAUGGAAUGGGAAUGGAGUUAUCUGUGUUUUUCUUCAAUCAUCUUAUUACCAGUUUUGAUCCUAUUUUUUUCUCAGAAAAAGACUACAAAAUGUUCUUACAAAUUACCUCCAGGACCACCUGGAUUACCAUUUUUUGGUAACAUGUUUGAACUAGGAACAGAGCCCUACAAAAGAAUGGCAGCUCUAAAACAGAAAUAUGGCCCUGUAUUGUGGUUAAAACUUGGCACCUCAACCAACAUUAUGGUUGUUCAAACAGCUCCGGCUGCUGCAGAAUUAUUUAAGAACCAUGAUACUUCCUUUGCGGAUCGAUUCAUACCUGAUGUAAAUCAGGCACAUAGUUACUAUCAAGGGUCCUUGGCCAUAGGCCGAUAUGGCUCAUUUUGGCGCUUUCAGAGACGGAUAUGUACUGUGGAAAUGUUUGUACACAAAAGAAUCAGUGAAACAGUGCCAGUAAGGCGAAGAUGUGUGGAUAAUAUGUUAAAAUGGAUAGAGAAAGAAGCGAAUUCAGCUGAAAAAGGAAGUGGGAUUGAGGUAACACGUUUUGUGUUCCUAGCAUCGUUUAAUAUGCUAGGGAAUUUGAUUCUGUCGAAAGACUUGGCUGAUCCAGAAUCCGAGGAAGCCUCGGAUUUCUUCAAUGCCAUGAAGAGAAUCAUGGAGUGGUCAGGUAUUGCUAAUGUUUCUGACAUAUUUCCAUUUCUUAGAAAGUUUGAUUUUCAAAAAUUGAGGAAGAAGAUGGCACGAGACAUGGGGAAGGCCAUUGAGAUCAUGUCUAUGUUUCUCAAGGAACGCGAGGAAGAGCGAAAGAAGGGUGCGGAGAAGGGGAAAGAUUUCUUGGAUGUGUUGCUUGAAUUUGAAGGCACUGGAAAAGAUGAGCCAGCUAAAUUAUCAGAACAUGAGAUCAAAGUAUUAAUAGUGGUAAGGUUUUUUAAAAAAAAUCUCUACACUUAUCUUUUCAACAUCAAUGAUUUUCUUUUCAAUUAGUUGUAUCUGGAGCAGAAAAAUGUGUUCUGCUUAGGGAAUAUUUUAUGCUCCUCAGGCCUCAGUCUUCACUCAACAAUCUUCAUUCCUUGUCUUUUACUACUAUUGCUCACUUUAAUUAUGAGGACUAAUUUGAUUGAAAAGUUAAUGUAAGUUCUUUUGAGAUCUUUACACAAAUAGCCGGCUGGGUUCACUGUUUCACUUUUCCUAUCUGGUAUACAUAUACUAUACACUGAUUAUAUACGGUUCUGCAUCAGGAAAUGUUUUUGGCCGGUUCAGAGACGACGAGCAGCAGCGUAGAAUGGGCACUAACAGAGCUCUUGCGCCAUCCAGAAGCAAUGGACAAAGUGAAAACAGAGAUAUCAAAAGUAAUAGGACCAAACAGCAAGUUUGAAGAAAGUGACAUCGAAAACCUUCCUUAUAUGCAAGCUGUAAUCAAAGAAUCGCUUCGUUUACAUCCUCCUCUGCCUUUCUUGCUCCCAAGAGAGACAAUUCAAGACACAAAGUUCAUGGGGUACGACAUACCAAAAGGAACUCGAGUUCUGGUGAACACCUGGGCUAUUGGAAGAGAUCCUGAAUGUUGGGACGACCCUAUGAGUUUCAAGCCCGAGAGGUUUCUUGGCUCAAAAAUAGACGUGAAGGGUCAGCAUUAUGAGCUAAUUCCAUUUGGUGCAGGACGGAGGAUGUGUGUUGGCUUGCCUUUAGGCCAUCGAAUGAUGCAUUUUGCUCUGGGAUCAUUGCUUCAUGAAUUCGAUUGGGAGCUUCCUAAUGGUGUCUCUCCUAAAUCUAUCAAUAUGGAUGAAAGCAUGGGUGCAACAGCCAGAAAACGUGACUCUUUGAAAGUAAUACCAAAAAAGGCUUUAGAACUCAUCAAUCUUUUCGAGCCAACAAGUAUGUCUUUAUAAUUAUGUAUGCAUUUUUUUUGCAUAUGUUCCUUAUAAUAAGUAUUUGCAAUCUUAGUAGCUCAGUUGGUUGACCACCUAAAAUUUAACCUUGUUGGUGAAUGUUCGAUUCCCCACCCUACCCCAUUUUAAAAAAAUGUAUUUGUAAUGCUAACUGGAGUUUCUUUAGUACAAUAUUUAUAGUAUGUAUCUAGAUCUUUGUCAACAAGAUUGUAAUUUGGAGAAAUUCAUGUGUGAUAAAUGUAAUACUUAAAAUCAAUUUUAGCUUGAAUAGUCUUUACGAAGUUGCUUAUGAAUCAAACUUUGAAUGUCUUUUUGAAGUCUCGCAUGCUUUUUUGAUGGUUAGGUGUGUCACACCCCUUUUUCGCACACGGUUGCGGAAGGGUUUUUCCAAUUAAAGUGACGCUAUUGAUUAAGAGAUUAUUUUAUUUUCGUUUUAGAGUCGCCACUUGGAAUUGAGUUAUGGUGUUCCAAGUCACCUUUUGUUUAAUCCUUAAUCAAAAGGAAAUGACUCUUUAUAUGGUUUGCGAACUAGAAAUUCGGGUAAGGAAUUCUGUUGACCGAGGGGAAGGUAUUAGGCAUCCCUCGAGUCCCGUGGUUCUAGCACGGUCGCUUUUAUUGACUUCUACCUACUUUAAAUCAUUUGUGGAUAUAUUAUUUUCAGGUCAUGACUUGUUUGCAUUUUUAUUGUUGAACUUUUAUUUGGUCUCAAAUCGGAUGCAUAACUGCAUUCUCGACUUUUGACAUAUAAAUACCUUAUGAACAUAAUUGUUUUCUUCUCUCGAGUGCAUCACCUAAUUUUAUCUAUAAGUGAUCUUAUUUUAAAUUAAUGAAAGUUAUUAUAUUUUUGGACAAGGUGCGUCACCGCAUCCUUGAGUUUUUUUUUAAUGUUUCAAAAAAGAUGUGUAACCACAUUUUUAAUUGAAACAAAUAUUAUUUUUUAUAUGCCUAAAACCCAUCUAAUGUUAUAAGAAAAUAUUAAAUAAAAUNNNNNNNNNNNNNNNNNNNNNNNNNNNNNNNNNNNNNNNNNNNNNNNNNNNNNNNNNNNNNNNNNNNNNNNNNNNNNNNNNNNNNNNNNNNNNNNNNNNNNNNNNNNNNNNNNNNNNNNNNNNNNNNNNNNNNNNNNNNNNNNNNNNNNNNNNNNNNNNNNNNNNNNNNNNNNNNNNNNNNNNNNNNNNNNNNNNNNNNNNNNNNNNNNNNNNNNNNNNNNNNNNNNNNNNNNNNNNNNNNNNNNNNNNNNNNNNNNNNNNNNNNNNNNNNNNNNNNNNNNNNNNNNNNNNNNUUUUUAUUAAUCCAACAAAACAAUGACGAAUUGCUAAAAUAAAUCUCAUUCUUUAUUUAAUAAAUAAAACAACAAUAAUUUUGUGAACCCAAUAAUUCCUACUUUAUCAUUAUUAGCAUCGAAAUCAAGAAAUGAACAACAUCAUGACCCAUUCAUUUUAAGACAUCACAACUAAUGAACGAAAAUAGAUAAAUAAAAAUAACCACCAAUAAAGUUACUUUCAUUCAUUAAAGAGAUAUAACACUUAACACAUUCUUCAUUUUAAUCAAAUUAUGAAUAAAAUAAAAGUGUAAGAAAACUUAUCAUAAUAAUUACAUCAAAUUCCAUAAAUAAAUUAAAUAAAAAGAUAAAGUAAAGUUGAAUACCGCAAAAUCUUAACCGAAGCUCGAUUAGAACACCCACAACUUUUGUAGGUUGUUUGUGAUGGUAUAUGUGUUUGUGUUGAUAUGAAAAAAAAUGGGUAAGGAAGAAAAGAUGUGAAUGUGUUGGUGAAUUUUUAAAAGAAGAAUCCAACAAGGAUGUGUAUUUUUUGGUUUCUUUGUAUUUGCAGAUUGUGCUUUUUCUUGUUUCCUUUUUUCUGUUUUUUUUUUGUCUCUCCCUGUAUGUGUAUAUGGUGUUGUCUAUAUAUGGGAAAUGUAGGUGUAGUAGUGUGUAGAUGUGUGUGUAGACAGUAGUGGUGUAGUGGUGUAGUGUGUAGACGUGUGAGUAUGUGUGUAUAGUGGGGGGGAUUAUGGUGUAGUGAGGUGAAAUGGGGUUGUGGGGUAGUGUAGAUAUAUAUAAAUAUAAAAUAUAAUAAUUAAAAAUAUUAACUAAUUAUUCUUAAUUAAUAUAAAUAUAUAUAUAAAAAAAAAGCUAGUUAAAAAAUAAUUAAGAAACACUAGUUUAUUUUAUUAAAUAUACAUUAAAAUAAAACGUAUGUUUUUUGUAGUUUCCUAAUCUUUUAAAAUAAACUUACUAAAAUACGAUGAAAAAAAUAAAAAUAAAAUAAAAAAAAUAUUUGAUUUAUAUAAAAAAGCAAUAUUCAUGUACUAAAAAAAAGGUGUAAUACCUUAAGUUCGGUCAAAAAUUACGUGUCUACAAGGUGUGUGGGCAAGUUAUGUUGAUGUUGGCACCUGGGCUUCUGGAACCACCCUCCAUUCUGGAGCCAGAGGGUUCUGAGUAACCUCAAUCUCACAUUUAAAGAAGUGAUUAUCUAUCUUGAAAAAAUCCUUGUCGUCUACACUAGGAUUUUUUUUUAAUUUUGUUCCUAUAAGAUAUGAAUUAUUGAAGGCUAGCAAGUCUUUUUGGUUUUCAACUUCAAAGAGAUCUAGAGAAAUACAAUAUCGUAAACUCCAUUUUUAUGCAAUAGCUCGCAAACCACACAAAAUCGGUAAACUGCACUACACAAGCCCCGUUCAACUAGCUCGACCCAGUAGACAAACCCUCUACUCUUGCAGACAAGGGAUUUCGAAUUUGAGACCUUCAUUAUGGAUGUCCCAAGCCAAACCAUCUAAGCAAGGCAAUAUUAUAUCCCAUAACCAACAUAAUAUUAUAUUUGGAAAUCAUGUCUCCUUUGUAAGCAAUAAGAAAUUGUUGGAUUGGUACAAGUCGUAUGUCGCUCUAUGUGGACAAACUAACAUGUUGUAUUCUAGGUGUUUUGAUGAUCCUCACAAAUGCAGGGACCCGAUCCCUGGCAGAGUGCUCUCAUCCAAGUUCAAAAUGGUGUACAGUUGUAAAGUUGUUUCACCAACCGUACUUCACCAAUAGGAAGGGCGGACGAGGUUGUUUGUUUUAGUGGUCAAAACUCGUGUUGGUGAUUGAUAUAUACAACAAUAAACAAACAACAUUAAUCAUUCAAAAAGAGAGAGAGCUAAGCAAGUCUUUUCAAGAACUCAAGCAUCAAAGAACACACUGCAAGGGACCUGGUCCCGGAAAGACUGCGUACGUGAAACAGACAAAAAAACAGCUGUCAAAAAGUUGUCAACUCUUAUAUGGUUGGUGCACGUCUUUUUAGAGAAGCAAGCUCUUUGGCAAUGAUGUCGUCCUCAGGGGUUUGGGUCCAUUUGAUAUAGUCUCUUCUCAAAAGACACAAACUCAAGAUUUGACAAACAAAGUAAAAUUUCUGAAAAUUCAUAAGCUCACAAAGAAGAAGUCAUCUUCAAGGAUGAACAUUGUUCAUACUCAACAAAGGACCUAAUGAAGUGCUGAAGCGUCGUUGUUGUAUUUUUGAGCUUUGUGUUUUAUGUUCUUAUAUUGUAAAUCUAUUCCUAAGUUAUAAAGGCUAGUAGAUCAGUUGCUUGUCUAAGUCUUUAAUUUGAGUCGUAUUAACUAGAGCUAGUUAGUUGAAUCAUCUACGUUUUUAGUCAAGCCUUUUUGCAUCAUUGUUUUGAUGUUCUCUUGGGUAGAGUUGCCUAGGAAUGUCAACAAGAGUUAGUUGAUGUGUGGUGCAGCAGAGUUGCUGCUUGUUUAUGCUCUUAUCAUCGAGAUCAGAGUUGGUGGUUAGCCUUGUUGGGUUCUUAAAGUCUAGAUCAAUUAGAGUUAAUUGGUUUAGUGGGAAAUACAGUUAUUGCUUAGUUUCCUUUGUUGUAGAGUUGCUACCGUAAGGGGGAAGGGAUUAAAGAGAUUUAAUUCCUAAGUUGCAAGAGUUUGUAAUCUGAAACUUUGCUCCGUUUGAGUGAUGGAGUUUGGGUUGAAAUCCUGUGAGUACAGGUCGUGGUUUUCACCGCCCUUGAGCAAGGGGUUUCCACGUAAAAUCCUUGUGCUUGAUUUACUUUGAGUUAUCUAUUUUCCGCACUAAUAUUAUGUCGAGGGACUGGUCCAAUGAUCACUGGUGGACGCAUCCAUUCUAACAUAACCCUUUAUGAAAGAAAUAAAAUACAAAAACACAUACUCUCUUCUUUUCUUUUAAUAACUAUGGUAUCUGAGCCAACUUAUGCGCACCUCGACUAAUUCCACAGAAUACAUGUCACCUCCUCCCAACAAUAUGAACCAAGUAACUCUGUCCACCUAGGACAAUUGGAAAGAAAUCACGUAGUGAUUUUGUCUAUGCUAGGAUUGAACCCGAGAGAUCAUGAAACUAUCAGUUUCCAAGAUAAACGUAGUCAGCUUGAAGCAAUUUCUUUUUCGACACAGAUUCUACAAGACUUCAACUACUAUUACCAUGUACGUAAUCGUUGUUCAUGCUACUGUUUAGUUCUCAGAAAUUGGAAGAUUUCAGUCUUUCCAAUUUCUUCUUCUACAUAAAUCUUGAUUAGGAAGAGGAAAUGGAAAUAUCAUAGUAGACAAUGAUCUUCUAGGUUUUCUUUUUUGGGUAAUAAUGAAGUUCUAGCUAGUAAAGAUAGUAAGAACAACAAUAUACCCCUACCUCAUGGAAGUAGAGAAAUUAUUUCCGAAAGACCCCCAACUCAGGCACCGCAUAUCAAAGAAAGGAAGUCAAAACAAAUACUAGAAAAAAACAUUGCAUAGCAUGGAGGAAAAAGGAACCGUAACAACAGCAAAAGUAAAGAUAGCAAGUAAAAUUUGCAUAAAUCCAAAAGCACACCCUCUCUAAACCUCCGAGAAAAUGAUCAAAAUGGUCCUUAAUGUAUGGGUUUGAUUCCAUUUUGGUCCUUAAUAUAUGAACUUGAUGGAAAUUGUCCUUUAUGUAUCAUAAAUUGUGAUCAAUUUGGUUCUUAACCCUAAAAUUAAUAUAUUUCUUUUUUUUUUGUCCGUCAAAAUACACGGAAUAUGUAAAAGAUGCGCUCGUUCAAGACUUUCCUUCCCUUGUUUCCAAAAAUUCCAAAAGGGCACAUCUAAUUUUUUUUAACCAAAGGUCAAAAUCGCUCCUGACAGAGCGAUUUUCUUCUGACAAAAUUGACGCCAUUACUCCUUUAAAAAACAUAAAAAUCGCUGCCGGUCCAAAAAAAAAUUUCUUUUUUCUUUAAAAUCGCUAGUGUGAAAUUUUUUUAUCAACGCUACCCCAGCAGCGUUUAAAAAAUAGAAAUAGCUGCUAUAGCAGCCAUUUUCUUUAAAAAGUUUAAUUUUUUUUUUUGUUAAAAAUUCCCAAGGCGAGGACUUCUUAAAAAAAUAAUGGAAAAUCGCUCCACAUGUAGCGAUUUUAGUUUAAAUUUUUUUUUUAAAUAAUCGCUGCCAAAGCAGCGAUUUCAGUAAGAAUUUUUAUUAUUAUUUUCCAAUUGUUGCUAGCAAUCAAAAUGUAUACAAUAAAAAAUUAUAAAGUAACUCAAUUGGGAAAUUAGCGAUUUCCCAUUAUUUUUUUAAGCAGUCCUCGCCUCGGAAAUUUUUAAUAAAAAAAAAUUUAAACUUUUUUAAGAAAAUGACUACUAUAACAGCUAUUUCUAUUUUUUAAACUUGUUAAAAAAUAAAUCACAGCAGCGAUUUUAAAGAAAAAAGAAAAAAAAAAUUGUAUCGACAGCGAUUUUUAUGUUUUUUAAAGGAGUAACGGCGUCAAUUUUGUUAGAAGAAAAUCGCUCCGUCAGGAGCGAUUUUGCCCUUUUGGUUAACCACAUUUUGAUGUGCCCUUUUGGAAUUUUUGGAAACAGGGGAAGGAAAGUCUUGAACGAGCACAUCUUUUACAUAUUCCGUGUAUUUUGAUGGCAAAAAAAUAUAUAUAUAUUAAUUUUAGGGUUAAGGACCAAAUUGAUCACAAUUUAUAAUACAUAAAGGACCAUUUUCAUGAAGUUCAUAUAUUAAGGACCAAAUGGAAUCAAAGCCCAUACAUUAGGGACCAUUUUGAUCAUUUUCCCCUAAACCUCCCCACAAUAACUUCCAUUUUAUGCAGAAGAAAACUAAACUACUCUUGAGUAUUUAUAUAGAGAAGAUCAUUGUCACUGUCAGAUGAGAAACCAUACAAAAACUAUAACAAUUAAUGCAAAAUAUUAAUCUGUUAGACCAUUAUCACAUCACAAAAUUUGUUUAUCACCAAAAACUUAGCGAAAUAACAAAGGAUCAAAAUAAAAUAUAAUGUAAACAGAAAUAUAGUCUUUAGAUUCAAAAUUGAGACUCACAGUGCUGGUGUGGUAGUUUCCUCUUUUCUACGCAGCAUUUAAUCAGAUGACUCGCGCAUAUUCCUUCACCAAAUUCCACAUUACAGCAAACAAAUUUCAAAUUAGGAUGAAAAAAGAAGCAGUGAUAAAUAUACCGAUCAACAAAUUGGGCAGAUUAACUGCAAAUUCCAAAUAUGACACACUAAUUCUCAUAUACAUACUGAUCGUAGAAGUUCGCCGCCAGCGGAGAGGAUGUUCGAGGAGGAGCAAUUAGCGCCACCGCAGGCGAAAGUGAAUCAGCGGUGAUAGGCCAUGACUUAGGGCUCGAUAAAUCUCCAUCGCCAUUUCCCCAAUUUUCCUCUUAUGUGAAGAAGAAGGGGAAAAUUACUUGUGAAUUGCAAAAAGGAGAAAAGAAGAGGGAAAAGGGUGGGUCGGGUUUGAGUGAAAAUUUCGCGGGUUAAUCCUUUUUGGACAAUAUUUUAAUAAUAAAUGAUACUCCCUCCAUUUUACUUUGUUUAUUUUGUUUUGAUUUAAGACAAGAAUUUUUUAAAAAAUUUUGUGAUUAUAAACUCUAUAUACAAAAACUAAAAAUAUAGGAUAAAUUAAUCAAAACGAAAGAUUAUACUGUAUUUAAUUAUUCAAAAGCCAAAAACGAAUUAUAUUACAUCUUCAAGAGCUAAAAAAAAAUAACCUUCAAAUUAAUUUAAAGCUUCUGACACCAACAAGGAUUGUGGUGAAGUGGUAAGUAUUCAUUCAUUCUUAACCAAGAGGUCUCGGGUUCGAGCCCCCUUGGAUACGGAGUCGUCUUUGUUAGGGAGCGUUUUACCACCCAAUGUGGGACUUUCCGACGCAAAUUCAAAUUUAGUCGGGCUCCAAUGUGAAUAUCAAACACCGAGUGGGAAACCAAAAAAAAUAAUUCAAACCUUGUGUCACAUCAUAUAGAGCCUAUUUUAACAGCUCUAUAAUCUAUACGAAAACAUUGACUUUGUCAUCCCUUUUAAUUGUGUCACACACCCAUAAAUAAUACUGAUUGAAAAUUGUCCAAAACACAAUAUAUUAUUAUGGACCGAUCACAUGGGCAAAUCCCAAGGAAGACGUAUCUCAUAUUAUCCUUAAUAUUAAAUAACUAUAUACUUCCUCUUGUCUAAUUUUUUUUUUUACUUAUCUUUUUUACAAAUUAAGAAAUGAUAAUAUUUUUAUCUAUUAUAUUUUUAAUUUAUUAACAUUAAGUAAUGUUAUGAAAAAUAUAAUGAUUAGAGAUAUUUGAAAUCUUAUCAAUUAAUAGAGAUAAAAUAAUAAACUCUCUAUAGCAAUCAAUAUUUUCUUAAUAGGUAUAUUAAGUCGAAGUUUGUCAAGUAAAAAGAAAAAGAGGGAAUAACAUAAUAAUAGUCAAAUUUAAAAUUCUAAGACAUGAAAAAAUAAUUUAACAAUAUACACUUCUAAGUACGUUUUAAAAAAUUAUAUAUAAGUCGAAUCAAUAUGAAUUAAGUAAUACUCCUAUAAAAUUGAACAAUAAUAGAUACUACUCCAUAGCUUUUAAGUUAACAAUUAACUGUACUAAUAAGUCCAUGGGAAUCCAUAUGUAACAUGAGUUAAAAUUUAAUUCUAACAAUUUUUUUACUUAAAAAAGGAACUGCAUGCAUAAAGUGGAAAUAUAUUAUUGAGUUUGCCAAUAACACGCGAAUAUAAUUAUUUAAAAGAGUUCUUAUCUUUGACGUAGUAAUUAAUUAUACUUGAGCAUGUUUUAAUCACGUAAUUAACAUUAAAGAGACACUGUUUGACCCUGCCGAUCAACUUAUUUUACUCUUUUUUACCCUCGAAAGUUAUUAUUAUUCGUUCAUUUAAAAAAAGAUGAAAUAUUUUCUAUGUAAAAUAAUUUUAUUUUAUUUUUUUUGUUUAACUUUAAUAAGAAGCUUUAAUAGCUACACAAAUCUUAUAUAUUCUUAAGGCCAUAAAUUUUUAACAUUCUUUACUUUUGUUUAAUUUCAUAAUAAAUUAAAUUACGUCAUAUAAAUAUGAAACGAAAGAAGGUAUGUCACCAACAUGGGUUGUGGUGCACUGGUGGGAGUGCUUCACCCUUAACCAGAGGUUUCGGGUUCGAGCCCUGGUAUGGAGAAAAUCAUGUUGGGAGCGUCACCCUCGAAUGGGCCCUGCAAAGUGCAAUUUGGAUUUAGUCGGAGCUCCAAUGUGGACUCUGGACACCGGAUGGGAAAAAAAAAAGAAAAAAAGGUAUGUCAAGUAAAAAUGGAUUCGAACUGAAGAAAUUUUAUGGUUUAACUUCUAUCAUAUCAAUUUCAACGGGCCAACUGGAUAGCAAUUUUUUCAACAUUUUAUUAAUUAUUAUUUUACUUAGUAAUCUCAAUUAUUUUGUCACAAACAAAAAAAUAUUGUGUAUCAUUUAGUGGACAUAAUUUAUCAUUAACUUGAUAUUAUUGAGUCAUUAAAAAUGUUAAUCCCAACCUAAUAAUACAAGUCAAAUGGGCCACAAGUUUAAUUUAAAAAGAAAAAUCAAAAGUCAUUAUCUAGUUGACAUAGACAUGACACUCGUUCGGUUCGAAUUUACUACAUAUAUUUAUAAAAUAAAAUUAAAAUAAUAAGUUUACUAUUUUAUCUUUAUGUUAAUAAUUUGAGAGUAUAAUAGAAAAAAAAAAUUCUUUCUCAAUUCGUCAAAAAUAACAAGUAAAAGUAGAACCCCUAUUUGACAAGUAAAUUCGAUCGGAAGGAGCAUAUGGCUAGAGAGGUGGACAUGAUGCCAAUAUUUGAACUUUUAUCUAUUAUAUUCAAUACACAUUUGUCAAUUGUCAUUGAUUAUUGUCAUUUUUUAACACCCCACUUCACGAUAAGUGCUUAGCAUCUGGUGCGUGAACGAGUCUUUUGAACUUUUAUCUUGCUCUAAUAUCAUGUGAAAUUAGGUAUUAUGCCUAACUUAACCCCCAAAAGCGAGCUCAAGGGAGUAUUGCCCAAGACUUAUACAGAGUUCACCCAUCUCAUUAAUCAUUAAUGUGAGACUUUUGUCAUUUUCUUGACAUUAGUUUUCCUAAUUACUCCUUAUAUUCGACUAUUUUGCUAUAUUAGUGCCCACUCAUUCGGGGUAAAGGUUAUCAAAUUAUUAGAGUUGUCAAUAUAAGUCAGUUCAAUUGGGACUGCAAGACUGCAACCCACUUAGAGGGUUCGGUUGGCUGUUUUAAGGGUCCUUUAAAUGAGGGGUUAGUCCCACUUGACCCGUUAAAUUUCAAAAUCUAUGUAGGUUGAGCCGACACAAUAUAAAAUUCAGGAUCCAUUGAAUAAACAAUUCCAAGUUAAAAGGGUUAUGAGAUAGGUGAAAUCAUUUAAUAGAACUUUAUCUAUCAGACCAUGUUUCAAAAAUAAAUAAUUAUAAAUAAGAGCUUAUCAUUACACAAUUUACAGCAAACCAGUAAAGUCAACCAAAAAAAAAAUGGAAUGGGAAUGGAGCUAUCUGUUUUUCUCUGCAAUCAUCUUGUUACCAGUUUUGAUCCUAUUUUUUUCUCAGAAAAAGAGUACUAAAUGUUCUUACAAAUUACCUCCAGGACCACCUGGAUUACCAAUUUUUGGUAACAUGUUUGAACUAGGAAAAGAGCCUUACAAAAAAAUGUCAGUUCUACAACAGAAAUAUGGCCCUGUUUUGGGGUUAAAACUUGGCCCCUCAACAAACAUUAUGGUUGUUCAAACAGCUCAUGCUGCUGCAGAAUUAUUUAAGAACCAUGAUACUUCCUUCGCAGAUCGACCAAUGGUCGAUGUAAAUCUGGCACAUAAUUACUAUCAAGGGUCUCUGGCUAUAGGCCGAUAUGGCUCCUUUUGGCGAUUUCAAAGGCGGAUAUGUACUGUGGAAAUGUUUGUACACAAAAAAAUCAGUGAAACAGUUCCAAUAAGGCGAAAAUGUGUGGAUAAUAUGUUAAAAUGGAUAGAGAAAGCAGGGAGUUCUGCUGAAAAAGGAAGUGGAAUUGAGGUAACGCGUUUUGUAUUCCUAGCAUCGUUUAAUAUGCUAGGGAAUUUGGUUCUAUCGAAAGACUUGGCUGAUCCAGAAUCCGAGGAGGCCUCGGAUUUCUUCAAUGCUAUGAAGGGAAUCAUGGAGUGGUCAGGUAUUGCUAAUGUUUCUGAUAUAUUUCCACUUCUUAGAAAGUUUGAUUUACAAAAAUUGAGGAAGAAGAUGACACGAGACAUGGGGAAGGCCAUGGAGAUCAUGUCUAUGUUACUCAAAGAACGCGAGGAAGAACGAAAGAAAGGUAUGGAGAAGAGGAAAGAUUUCUUGGAUGUGUUGCUUGAAUUCGAAGGCACUGGAAAAGAUGAACCAGCUAAAUUAUCAGAACAUGAGAUCAAAGUAUUAAUAGUGGUAAGUUUUAAAGAUCUCAAAAUUUUGCUAUUAUAUUAUUCGAAAUUUUCAUAGAUACACUUAUCUCAUAUUUGUGAUCUAGUGUGAAAGUGGUUGACUAUAUCUGUUCGAAACUUGAAAUUGUUUAUACUGACAGUGUAUAAAACUUAAACUCGUGUUGCAUAUGUAUGAAACAACAGGAAAUGUUUUUAGCUGGUUCAGAGACGACGAGCAGCAGUGUAGAAUGGGCACUAACAGAGCUUUUGCGUCAUCCAGAAGCAAUGGCCAAAGUGAAAACAGAGAUAUCAAAAGUAGUAGGAUUAAGCAAGUUUGAAGAAAGUGAUAUCGAAAAUCUUCCUUAUAUGCAAGCUGUAAUCAAAGAAUCACUUCGUUUACAUCCUCCUCUGCCUUUCUUGAUCCCAAGAAAGACAAUUCAAGACACUAAGUUCAUGGGGUACGACAUUCCAAAAGGCACUCAAGUCCUCGUAAAUGCCUGGGCAAUUGGAAGAGAUCCUGAAUGUUGGGACGACCCAAUGAGUUUCAAGCCUGAGAGGUUUCUUGGCUCAAAAAUAGACGUGAAGGGUCAGAAUUAUGAGCUAAUUCCAUUUGGUGCUGGACGAAGAAUGUGUGUUGGCUUGCCUUUAGGCCAUCGAAUGAUGCAUUUCGCUCUGGGAUCGUUGCUUCAUGAAUUCGAAUGGGAGCUUCCUGAUGGUGUCUCUCCUAAAUCUAUCAAUAUGGAUGAAAGCAUGGGAGUAACAGCAAGAAAACGCGACUCUUUGAAAGUCAUACCAAAAAAGGCUUGACUAUUUAUCAUAGUUACAUAGUAACGACAAGAGGGAGUUGGGUAAACACCCUCACUUCAAACCUUAUCGAGCCAAACAGUAUUUGAGACUUUCUAAUUAUGUAUGCUUAUAUAUUUUUCUUUGUAAUACUACCAAGUAUUUGUAGUGCUUGUACUAAAUGUAUAUUUACUAGAUCUUUGAAUAAGAUUAUAAUUUGGAGAAAUUCAUAUAUGAAUGAUUUAAACUUAUAGAUUAAUACCACUAGUUAAUUAACUCCCCACUUUCAAAUUUAUCGCGAAAAUUAGUACAUUUCCUAGUUAUGCGGUACUUAACUUUGCAAUAAUAAACCUCUUAAAGAAUUAGAAGGCCUAGUAUACUGCGAUGUGUGAUUUGAUCGAAAUUCUGAUUUUACAAACUCGGAAGGAGAAACUGUCAUCCCAGUCAAUCCAAUUGGGAUGCCCUGGACCUGACAUGUCACUUGGAAAGAGUAACAUGAAGCUCAGAAUUGGGGUGUAGUCAAUACUCCCAAAUAAAAAGGGAAUUGAUCUAUGGUCAAUUUCGUAACAAAUCAAAUAAAGAUGAAUUUCUAUUUGUACCUCGUAAAAAAAGCUAUACAACUUCAUAGAGAAAAAUAAAUAAAUUUGCACACACCUAGUGAUCAUAUAAAUUUUUUAUCAUUUAAUCAUAGUUAAUUUAUAUAUGUACUAACAUAAUAUCAAAGUGUGAAUAUCCGUCAGGAUCUAUGAGUCGUUACAAGGAGAUGGAGCAACUAGUGAGUAUUUGUUAAGACUCUUUUAUUAUUUUAUGUGUCAUUCAAUUAAUAUUAAACUCAUAAGUAAUAGUAUGAAGAACAAAUCUUAUCUACUAAACUGAUUACUUAUGAUGCAUCAAAUGAAGUCUUAAUUUUUAUAAAUUAAUCCUUCCUCCAUUGAUUAUGUUACCACAUAUUUUCUGUGUUACUUUAUUCUAUGAUUAAGAUAAGGAUGAAGAAAAUAAUACUUUGAUUAACGCUCUUACUUCUCUCUGGGAUAAUAUCUUUUGCUUCGGUGUUUGAUCAUGAAAACUUUUCACUGAAUUAAAUUUUGAACCUAGAAGUUUUAAGUAUUUGAAAACAAUAAAAAUGUAUUUUCAUUCUAAAUACUCAUAAAAAAGUUAAAGAUAACUCCAAAUUUUAUUGGUGUCGAAACCGAGUUGCACCAAUUUUUAAAUAUUAUUUUCAUUUUAAAAAUAACUUUUUUUAAAAUUUUACAUUACUUAAUAGACAUGUUCUUGUCAUUUUAAUUUUUUUUAAAAUUUUACACUACUCCAAACAUGGCUAAAUUUAUGUUUUUGUAGACAUGUUCUUUGUCAUUUUCCUUCUAGAAGAAACUCCAAGCAAAAUCUGCUUUCCCAUUUAAUUCUGUCACACCCCAUAAAUAUAUGUUCAUCAAAAUUGCCAGUCCAAACACAUUGAAUUCAUGGUCCCACCAUGAGAUUGAAUAUUUCUAAAAUCAGGAUAAGAAUCGAACUCUUAUCAAAGAUGAAAACAAAGAUAAUCAACUGAUAUUGAAUAUUUUGUCCGAUUCUUUUAUAAUUUACUAUUCCAAAUUUUUACUAUUAUCGAUCUCUUAUAACUUUUUAAAUAUAUACCUCUUCUCUCAUAUUUAAACUAUCUUAAUCUCGCAUCCAAACAUGUAGGACAGGUAAAACUUACAUAAAGCAUAGGGAGAUACAUAUUCGUGAAAAGCAAAAAGCCCUACAGUGGGGGGAUUGACCAACUACGAAUAGUAAUCGCAGUUAUUUGGCCACAAAUAACAAAAUAGUGUUUGUCAUUAUGUGAGAUAAAUAGUUGGAAAUGAAUAAAGCCAAAAAAAAAAAAAACACAUUUUGUGGACAUAAUUUAUCAUUGCCCUAAUAUUAUUGAGGCAUAAUUAUAGCUCGAGACCCCAACCUUUGAUCGAAGCCAAAAUUUAAUCUUUAUAAAUUUUUAAUGUGAUUAUAGAAUUUGAACUAAAAUUAUUAGGUUCGAUCGAAUUUGCUCCGACUAUUUUUCCUAAUUACUCACACCACAUCAAUUACCAAGUUCAGAAUGAUAACUAAGACAAAUAAUUUAGAUGCGCACCGAAUAAACGAUGACUAAGUAAAAGUGGUUAUGAGGUGAUGGCAAGCAAUGUAACAUUAUAAGUAGGAGCUCCCAUCACAUAAUUUAUAGCAAACCAAAGAAAUCACCAAAAAAAAAGAAGAAAGAGAGAUGGAAUGGGAAUGGAGCUAUCUGUUUUUUUCUUCAAUCAUAUUGUUAUCAGUUUUCAUCCUAUUUUUUUCACAGAAAAAGAGUACUAAAUGUUGCUACAAAUUACCUCCAGGACCACCUGGAUUACCAAUUUUUGGCAACAUGUUUGAACUAGGAACAGAGCCCUUCAAAAAAAUGUCAGUUCUAAAACAGAAAUAUGGCCCUGUUUUGUGGUUAAAACUUGGCACCUCAACAAAUAUUAUGGUUGUUCAAACAGCUCAGGCUGCUGCAGAGUUAUUCAAGAACCAUGAUAUUUCCUUUGCGGAUCGAUUCAUACCUGAUGUAAAUCAGGCACAUAGUUACUAUCAAGGGUCCUUGGCUUUAGCCCCAUAUGGUCCCUUUUGGCGGUUUCAAAGACGGAUAUGUACUGUGGAAA
rnacentral:lncRNA from 1 species